AGAGUUUGAUCCUGGCUCAGAACGAACGCUGGCGGCGUGCUUAACACAUGCAAGUCGAGCGUGAAAGUCCCUUCGGGGGCGAGUAAAGCGGCGGACGGGUGAGUAAUACAUAGGUAAUCUACCUUCGAGAUUGGGAUAACUUUGCGAAAGUGAAGCUAAUACCGGAUAAGACCACAUAGCUUACGCUACGGGGUAAAAGGUGGCUCGUAUUUAUACAUGCUAUCACUUGAGGAUGAGCCUAUGGCCUAUCAGCUUGUUGGCGGGGUAAAAGCCCACCAAGGCUAUGACGGGUAGUUGGUCUGAGAGGACGACCAACCACACUGGGACUGAGACACGGCCCAGACUCCUACGGGAGGCAGCAGUGGGGAAUAUUGGGCAAUGGGCGAAAGCCUGACCCAGCGACGCCGCGUGGGUGAUGAAGGCCUUCGGGUUGUAAAGCCCUGUCAUGCGGAAAGAACUGUUCUAUGGUUAAUACCCAUGGAAUUUGACGGUACCGCAGGAGGAAGCACCGGCUAACUCCGUGCCAGCAGCCGCGGUAAUACGGAGGGUGCAAGCGUUGUUCGGAAUUAUUGGGCGUAAAGGACGCGUAGGCGGUAAUGAAAGUCAGAUGUGAAAUACUUCGGCUCAACUGAAGAACUGCAUCUGAAACUUCAUAACUAGAGUACAGAAGAGGGAAAUGGAAUUCCCGGUGUAGAGGUGAAAUUCGUAGAUAUCGGGAGGAACACCAGUGGCGAAGGCGAUUUCCUGGUCUGAUACUGACGCUGAGGCGUGAAAGUGUGGGGAGCAAACAGGAUUAGAUACCCUGGUAGUCC
rnacentral:rRNA from 1 species